GUAUGUCGAAUGACUCCCUUUUACAACAGCAGCCUUUUGUAACCCGCGAAAUGAGAACACGUCAUAAUACAUAAUGGCAAUAUUUACAGUACUGUAUUAUGAUUUGCAAGUUUGACGCUGUUGUUAACAAAUGUACAUAGAUAGGUUGGUUCAUGAGUGAGAUGAAAGCAAUGCAAGUAAGUACAUUUUGAUAGACUCCCACAUUUACCAAAACUCUUUUUUUAUGACCAAUAAGUAGGUUUGUACGCUUGUGUUUCACGGUGAAGUAAAAAAAAGUGUAAGUAAAAGUACGCAGCCAUUUCAUAAAUGCGCGACAAAUGUGGCCCUAUUUCGUGAAUCACUAGGUCGGAGGUAUUCUUAUUGUGACGUUAGCCGCAUCACAAGUCGUGUAUAAAUACCACCCGCAACCCCCUUCCAACUCAAACUCGUUAUUGAUGCGGUUUUACUGUACUGCGUUGGUUGACGGUUCGUUUUCGUCAAGAUGUAGUUUUCCUGAAUCUUUUAUUAGGUUACUUUAAUUUUAGUUCCGACUAAUGAUGGCUAAGACUAAUAUGUAACAGGUCUCGUGUGAAGAAUGUAGUAUGGAAGUUUAAAUUGAUCAGAUAAAGUAGCUAUCUAACGUUACCGCUAGCUUGUCUUUCGACGCCUACAUUAUUUGUUGCCUCAUAGCUUUUUUGCGAUUGUUGCUUUUACUUGAGUACUGAAUUACUUACGAUUCGUAUGCAUUAACAUUAUAGCUGUAAGAAACGAUCAAGCUGACGUGUCCGUCUCAAAAGAUGAACGCCACAACGAGGUUAUCGUUAGGUGCCAGGGAAUUGUUGUCCUCGUCAGUUACGUAGUUAAACACAGGAGAAUGCUUAUUUUUCUACGAUAAGUAACAACGAAAAAGUCACAUUUGUUAACUACGGUACCUGGCCAAGAAGGCAAAAUGAGCGUGUUGUGGCGCAGUUGUGGGCCUGAUUUAAAAAAUCGCGACGUGUGAAGAUAUAGUGGAGAAAUGGCUGCCCGGGUGAUUCAGUGCUGGUGCAGCUAUCUGAAGUCCAUUUUUUUGAAGAUCAUGAAAGAAUCAGGUUGUAUAAGUGUCAUUGAAAGAACCAAGUUACAAGACCAGAACUUUUUGAAAAGAGUGAAGCCAUUCGAAUAGCCAGCUAAAUAUUUGAAUAGAAGUUGAGCGUAGGUCCCACUUAUCCGAGACAGUAUAGCUAUUUCAAUGCGGAUAGUAGUUUGUUAACUUAAAAUGACGACUAGCUUACAAGAGAAGAAUUUUGAACCCUUGGGAAUGGGCAGUAAAAUGUACCAUUUACAAGACGAGCAUCUUCUGAAGAAAUGAGAAUGGCCAGCUAAAUAUUUGAAGAUCAAGUGAAGCGUAGGUCCCUUAUAUCGGAGGCAGUUUAUAUACUUCAAUGCGUUAGAAGUGUUGCUUUUAAUUGGUUGCGCAUCAGGAAAUAAAAUUUAUCGUGGAAAAGCAACCAAGGUACAAGACUAAACUUUUCAAAAGUUUACGGUCUGAUUAUAGCCAGCAAAAAAUGGCUUAGGUUUUAUGUAAACUGAGUAAGUGCUGGUAGUUUGUCUCGUAUCAGUAUAGGCAACAUGUGAAAUAACCAAGUUACUGAUCUUGAAACAUAUGGGAAGUUGUGAAGCCUCUUGAAUAGCCUAUUGUAAUUUGGGCUGCAGUUGCCUUUUGAUCAUUUGAAUUAUUUUUUUUUAACCUGAAGCGAAGUACAAUAUGUGCUUAAGAUGGGGAAACCUUAUUUCAAUGGCAAACUAAAUAUUGGAAGAUAAUUUAACCAACAGUGCCUGUUAGUCAUUUAAGCUACUUCAAGAAGUAAAAAUGUUUUGAGCCUAAAACGAACAAGAUGUGCUGCCGAUUACAUUUCAAAGUACAGCAGUUGCUUUGCUAGCACUAGCGGUAGUUCAAGGAGUUGCAGGCUCGUGACGUUGCUUUGUCACGCUUUGAUUAACUUUUUCUUAACACAAUUGGCUCUAGUUGGCGAAGAAAAGAAGAUUUCUGUAGAAGAAUGGACUGAGUUUGUUUUUUGAAGGGGUGGGGGGGCACUUAGCUAGUAGGCAGUUUGUGAUCAGACGAGGAAGGACGACUUCAGGAUCAGGCAAGAACCAGGCAGAGGGAAACUGGGAAGACCAGCGGGGAGCCAGGCAGGAUCCAGGUGGAUUGCGGGAGGAGCAGAUGGGACCCAGUUGAGCGAGCGGCACGCAGCAGAGUUCAUCAGAGGGAGCGAGCCAGAUGGCAGGGUAGCGAUCAUCCCAGAGUGAGCUGAGAGCGGCGCAGUCCCAGGUCGAGCGUUGCCCUAAAGCAGCCAGUGGGUCCCAGCAGCAAUGAGGCAGACGAGAAAGGGUCAACUAGCUUCGCAAGUGACAAAAGUGUUUGUAUGAUGGGUAGCGGUAUACAGUAAUGUUUAACUAGGCCAAAAAUCUUCGCAAUUUGUCAAUAUUAAAUCUGUCAACACAUUUGCUCGCGAAGUUUUCUUCCUCUUUCAGGUAAUGGUAAAGUGUUAAUUUUCCUGGUUGCUGCCCCUUCCUGUGUGAUGUCUGCUGUGAUGAGUCCCCCUUGGCCUACUUGGUAGAGAGGACUGUCUUAAAGGAUUUCACCCUCCUGCAGCGCAGAUGUAGUACCCCCCGGGCGGAGGAGUUUCUUCUUCAUUGAGUUCAAUAGGUCUACCUCCCUGAGAAGUGGUCUACAUGGCAGUGUUGAGUCGAAAUUCUUCUGUACGUUCGUGCUGCUUUGGUGCUGAGCAGCUACAUCUGCUGGUUAAAGUGAGCAGUGAGUUUAAAUGCAUGAGAUGAUCAUGUGGGGGGAGUAACUAUUCCCUUCAAUAAAUAUUGAUAUCAAAUUUCUAUUUGCCUUUGUAAUGGUAACUGAAAGGGAUUAUCCCUGCAUUUAAUUUGUAGUAUUGGUCAAACUGUGGUGCAUUUGUGGAUGGUGGGGGGGGAGACUUUUUCCGAGUUCUUCUUUUCACAGGCUCGCACCUUAAAGCAAACCUGACCAUCCAAGGGAGUCCCUCUUUAGUACAGCCCACCACAUUAAUCAAAACGGUUGAGCACGUCCCCUAACAGAUAAUUCUAAGGAUGGAUCAAGGGAAACCUCUGGUGUUAAAGUCAUGUAGGAAGCUUCGUGUAAAGCAGCAUUUUAAAGAUCCAAAUGGCUAGCGUUGAGGUUUGAGGAGCAAGAAGUCAACCUGGUGGUCCACGUCUUUCGGGUUUCCUUUUGCCUUGUGGUGUGGAUAUUCCUUGGUGUCUACAAUGGUGUAGCAGGAGGCGGGCCACAUUUUGGGAUGUGAACUUGCGGUGUUCUACCAGGGAGUGUGGUAACCCUUAACUUUUAGGCUGAUGCAUUUUAUAUCCUGGAGUUUAAAUUUGCAUUUGGAGUUUCUGGGUUCAGGGGAGGGCUUAACUGUGACUCUUCCAGAUUAUGACCAACCCCUCAAUGAAAGAAACCGGAGGUCUACAUCUCCCCCGUCUUAAGGAGAACAGCUGAUGCCUUGAGGCCAGUGGUAUUUAACUGUUUCUUGUGGAAAGUUAUUGACUUGGUGUUAGUGAUUUUGUGUAUUUUAAUUGUAUUUUAGCAACUGUUAAUACAAUUUUGAUAGUGGGUUGAUAACUGUCUGGGUUUGUAUGGGUGGGAAUGGUGGAAGUCUUGUUUUCCCUUUUGCGUUUUCCAGUGUGCUGUGUCCUACGCUUUCAAUACUGAAGAUCAACAGGAACGCCCCUAACUCAUUGUAUGUAGAGGUUUACUAUUGCGUCAAAACACCUCAUUAGGUCUCAAGUAAGGUCCCGUACAAAUGUUUUUAUAUUUCAUUAAUAUGACGUUUGGCAACUUCCCUUAAUUGCACUCCUUUGCAAAUUAGUUAAAUGUUUUGUAUUGGUGCAACUGAACUCUGUCAAGGAAUCAUAAUUGGUAAUAAAUGCAUAGCUUGUUGUGAUUUGAA